GACGAACGCUGGCGGCGUGCUUAACGCAUGCAAGUCGAACGGAAAGGCCCUGCUUUUGUGGGGUGCUCGAGUGGCGAACGGGUGAGUAACACGUGAGUAACCUGCCCUUGACUUUGGGAUAACUUCAGGAAACUGGGGCUAAUACCGGAUAGGAGCUCCUGCUGCAUGGUGGGGGUUGGAAAGUUUCGGCGGUUGGGGAUGGACUCGCGGCUUAUCAGCUUGUUGGUGGGGUAGUGGCUUACCAAGGCUUUGACGGGUAGCCGGCCUGAGAGGGUGACCGGCCACAUUGGGACUGAGAUACGGCCCAGACUCCUACGGGAGGCAGCAGUGGGGAAUAUUGCACAAUGGGCGGAAGCCUGAUGCAGCAACGCCGCGUGCGGGAUGACGGCCUUCGGGUUGUAAACCGCUUUCGCCUGUGACGAAGCGUGCGUGACGGUAAUGGGUAAAGAAGCACCGGCUAACUACGUG
rnacentral:rRNA from 1 species